UUGUCCUGGCGAGAAUCGAUCUCUCAACCUUCUGAUUAAACGCCAGCUGCUCUACCGGCUGAGCUAUGCA